CUGGCGUCGAUCAAGGUUGGAAAAGCAUUCCGUCGCGAUCCAGGGUUAAAAGGGAGAUAACCCAGAAUUAACACAGGGAGACAGUUGAGACAGUCAACAUACCGGAGAGCCUUUGAACUUUUGAAGCAAGUGGCACAUAAAAACGGUUUCAACCUUCAACCAUCCAUUUUCAGAUUGACGAAGCAUGGAUUCAAAUUAUGGCCGAAGUACCAGAUAAUGAAAAAAAUAGACAACUGACUGUUACGCAAUGGUUAGACGGCCACAGAUACAAUGGAUACAAUGGAACCACAACCAAACCACGCGAAAAAC